UGGGGAAUAUUGGACAAUGGGGGCAACCCUGAUCCAGCCAUGCCGCGUGUGUGAAGAAGGCCUUUUGGUUGUAAAGCACUUUAAGCAGGGAGGAGAGGCUAAUGGUUAAUACCCAUUAGAUUAGACGUUACCUGCAGAAUAAGCACCGGCUAACUCUGUGCCAGCAGCCGCGGUAAUACAGAGGGUGCGAGCGUUAAUCGGAAUUACUGGGCGUAAAGCGAGUGUAGGUGGCUCAUUAAGUCACAUGUGAAAUCCCCGGGCUUAACCUGGGAACUGCAUGUGAUACUGGUGGUGCUAGAAUAUGUGAGAGGGGAAGUAGAAUUCCCAGGUGUAGCGGUGAAAUGCGUAGAGAUCUGGAGGAAUACCGAUGGCGAAGGCAGCUUCCUGGCAUAAUAUUGACACUGAGAUUCGAAAGCGUGGGUAGCAAAACAGGAUUAGAUACCCUGGUAGUCCACGCCGUAAACGAUGUCUACUAGCCGUUGGGGUCCUUGAGACUUUAGUGGCGCAGUUAACGCGAUAAGUAGACCGCCUGGGGAGUACGGCCGCAAGGUUAAAACU
rnacentral:rRNA from 1 species